rnacentral:rRNA from 1 species
UACGGGGGGGGCAAGCGUUGUUCGGAAUUAUUGGGCGUAAAGGGCUCGUAGGCGGUUUGUCGCGUCGGGAGUGAAAACACACAGCUUAACUGUGUGCUUGCUUCCGAUACGGGCAGACUAGAGGUAUGCAGGGGAGAACGGAAUUCCUGGUGUAGCGGUGAAAUGCGCAGAUAUCAGGAGGAACACCGGUGGCGAAGGCGGUUCUCUGGGCAUUACCUGACGCUGAGGAGCGAAAGUGUGGGGAGCGAACAGG